CAGCUUGCUGGGUGGAUUAGUGGCGAACGGGUGAGUAACACGUGAGUAACCUGCCCUUGACUCUGGGAUAAGCCCGGGAAACUGGGUCUAAUACUGGAUAGGAACGUCCACCGCAUGGUGGUUGUUGGAAAGAUUUAUCGGUCAUGGAUGGACUCGCGGCCUAUCAGCUUGUUGGUGAGGUAAUGGCUCACCAAGGCGACGACGGGUAGCCGGCCUGAGAGGGUGACCGGCCACACUGGGACUGAGACACGGCCCAGACUCCUACGGGAGGCAGCAGUGGGGAAUAUUGCACAAUGGGCGAAAGCCUGAUGCAGCGACGCCGCGUGAGGGAUGACGGCCUUCGGGUUGUAAACCUCUUUCAGUAGGGAAGAAGCGAAAGUGACGGUACCUGCAGAAGAAGCACCGGCUAACUACGUGCCAGCAGCCGCGGUAAUACGUAGGGUGCGAGCGUUAUCCGGAAUUAUUGGGCGUAAAGAGCUCGUAGGCGGUUUGUCGCGUCUGUCGUGAAAGUCCGGGGCUUAACCCCGGAUCUGCGGUGGGUACGGGCAGACUAGAGUGCAGUAGGGGAGACUGGAAUUCCUGGUGUAGCGGUGGAAUGCGCAGAUAUCAGGAGGAACACCGAUGGCGAAGGCAGGUCUCUGGGCUGUAACUGACGCUGAGGAGCGAAAGCAUGGGGAGCGAACAGGAUUAGAUACCCUGGUAGUCCAUGCCGUAAACGUUGGGCACUAGG
rnacentral:rRNA from 1 species